GAUGAACGCUAGCGGCAGGCUUAAUACAUGCAAGUCGUGGGGCAGCAUGAGUAGCAAUACUUGAUGGCGACCGGCAAACGGGUGAGGAACACGUACACAACCUUCCUUCAAGCGGGAAUAGCCCAGAGAAAUUUGGAUUAAUACCCCAUAAUAUAUUUGAUAAGGCAUCUUAUUAAUAUUAAAGCUUCGGCACUUGAUGAUGGGUGUGCGGCUGAUUAGAUAGUUGGCGGGUAACGGCCCACCAAGUCUACGAUCAGUAGCUGAUGUGAGAGCAUGAUCAGCCACACGGGCACUGAGACACGGGCCCGACUCCUACGGGAGGCAGCAGUAAGGAAUAUUGGACAAUGGACGAAAGUCUGAUCCAGCCAUGCCGCGUGAA
rnacentral:rRNA from 1 species